rnacentral:lncRNA from 1 species
GGAGACCAAAUCAGAGGAAUACGACAGAAGAAGAUGGAGGAGGAAAGGCCCCUAAAUGGCAAGAAGAAAAACGAAGGUUCUGGGACUAACCUAGAUCACUCUGAAGGAUGCAGAGGGGCGAGGACAGGGAUGACUCGAAGGACGCCUAGGGCCAAAGAAGACGCCAAGGAGGGUCAGGGCUCUCGAAGAAAAGGCGGACACCGAUAGAACUUUCAGGCGGAAUAGGGCCUCUGAAGGCGGAAGGGCGGAUUUAAAUAGGCCCUGAGAUCCGGCGUAAUGACGAUUGCGAAUCCCCUCUGGCCGGUCUCUUUUCGCCGCGUGUCCCACUCACCACAGCGGGUGGUUAAAAAGUGACAGACGGCUGACAGUGCCUUUAUUGCGCCACGUCUUGAGCACCGUUCCGCUGCAGGUUCCAAAAGAGCCUCUUCGGAUCGCCUCGAUUUGAAAAGAUUCCGGCGCACGCGCAUUAAAUGCCAAAAUAUCUGAGGACGAUCGCGCGCGGACAUCGAGGGAGCAACUUCGGCUGUGACAGUCUUUCUGUACUUCCUUCAUUCGAAAUUCGAACUCGAAAGUAGGGGGACUGGUGUUGGGUAUAAAAUACCCUCAGCCGAAGUUCUUAACAGGAUUGACCCUCCCGAGACUCCUCCGGCUGUCG